GUCAAAGUAUGUUUAAAUUUAUAACAAAACAAAACUUUCAACAACGGAUCUCUUGGCUCUCGCAUCGAUGAAGAACGCAGCGAAAUGUGAUAAGUAAUGUGAAUUGCAGAAUUCAGUGAAUCAUCGAAUCUUUGAACGCAUCUUGCACUCUCUGGUAUUCCGGAGAGUAUGUCUGUUUGAGUGUCAUGAAUUCUUCAACCCUCCCUUUUCUUAGUGAAUUGAGAGGAGUUUGGAUUCUGAGUGUUGCUCCUAACCCGAGCUCAUUCGUAAUAUAUUAGCAUCCAUAUUCGACUUCGGAUUGACUUGGCGUAAUAGACUAUUCGCUGAGGAAUCUAACUUCGGUUAGAGCCGUUUUUGAACUAGGAAGCUGCUAAUCUAGCUUAGUCUACCUUUAGAUUAGAUCUCAAAUCAGAUAGGAUUACCCGCUGAACUUAAGCAUAUCAAUAAGCGGAGGAAAAGA
rnacentral:sRNA from 1 species